CACUAUUAGAUUCUCUAUCUAUCACUGUUAAUCUAUCUACCACUGCUAAUCUAUACUGCUGUCAAUCUAUCUAUCACUGCUAAUCUAUCACUGCUGUCAAUCUAUCUACUGCUGUCAAUCUAUCUAUUGCUGUCAAUCUAUCUACCACUGCUAAUCUAUCACUGCUAAUCUAUCACUGCUAAUCUAUCACUGCUAAUCUAUUGCUGCUAAUCUAUCUAUCACUGUUAAUCUAUCACUGUCAAUCUAUCUACUGCUGUCAAUCUAUCUACCACUAUCAAUUUAUCUACCACUGUCAAUCUAUCUAUCACUGCUAAUCUAUCACUGCUAAUCUAUUGCUGCUAAUCUAUUGCUGUUAAUCUAUCGCUGCUAAUCUAUUGCUGCUAAUCUAUCUAUCACUGCUAAUCUAUCACUAUUAAUCUAUCUACUGCUGCCAAUCUAUCUACUGCUGUCAAUCUAUCUACCACUGUCAAUCUAUCUACCACUGCUAAUCUAUCACUGCUAAUCUAUUACUGCC
rnacentral:sRNA from 2 species